rnacentral:rRNA from 1 species
CCCUUAGAUGUUCUGGGCCGCACGCGCGCUACACUGAUGCAUUCAACGAGUCUAAAACCUGCUCUGAUAGGGGUGGGUAAUCUUUUGAACGCGCAUCGUGAUUGGGAUAGAUGAUUGCAAUUUUUCAUCUUCAACGAGGAAUGCCUAGUAAACGCAAGUCAUCAGCUUGCAUUGAUUACGUCCCUGCCCUUUGUACACACCGCCCGUCGCUCCUACCGAUUGAAUGAUCCGAUGAAUAUCAUGGAUUGAGGAUGCAAGUAGGUUAGCCUAUCUUCAUCUUCGAGAAGUGAAGUAAAUCUUAUCAUUUAGAGGAAGGAGAAGUCGUAACA